rnacentral:rRNA from 1 species
GACGAACCGUGCGAACGUUGUUCGGAAUCACUGGGUUUAAAGGGCGCGUAGGCGGGCUGUCAAGUCGGUGGUGAAAUCUUUCAGCUUAACUGGAAAAUGGCCUUCGAUACUGGCGGUCUGGAGGAAGGUAGGGGCAUGCGGAACUUCCGGUGGAGCGGUGAAAUGCGUAGAUAUCAGGAGGAACACCGAUGGCGAAGGCAGGUCUCUGGGCAUUAACUGACGCUGAGGAGCGAAAGCAUGGGGAGCGAACAGG